CUGAGCUGGAAAAUCUGAUGACGAUUGUGGCGAAUCCGCGGCAGUUUAAGAUCCCAGACUGGUUUUUGAAUAGGAAGAAGGACUAUAAGGACGGGAGGUACUCUCAAGUGGUGUCGAAUGCGCUGGACAUGAAGCUGAGGGAUGAUCUGGAGCGCCUGAAGAAGAUUAGAAACCACCGUGGUCUGCGUCACUACUGGGGUCUCCGUGUUCGCGGACAGCACACCAAGACGACUGGCAGGAGGGGUAAAACUGUUGGUGUCUCAAAGAAGCGAUGAGCUCUGUUGUUUUUCAUGGCUCUGGUUUUGGUUCCAAAUAUCCGAGGUCUAUAGACAUUAUGUUUUCUUAGUCUAAGGUGUUUCUUAAGCAGCAGUUUUGUUACUUGUCUGAACUUCAAGAUGGUGAUUUGUUUGCCUGUAUGAGUUUGCAUUCAGUAAUUCUAGAAUUGUCAUUUAUCUUUCUUCAUCUUAAGUUGUGUUAAUGCUAGACUGCUAUCGUGG
rnacentral:misc_RNA from 1 species